rnacentral:rRNA from 1 species
CCUACGGGCGGCAGCAGUGGGGAAUAUUGGGCAAUGGGCGCAAGCCUGACCCAGCAACGCCGCGUGAAGGAAGAAGGCCCUCGGGUUGUAAACUUCUUUUAUCAAGGACGAAACAAAUGACGGUACUUGAUGAAUAAGCCACGGCUAACUACGUGCCAGCAGCCGCGGUAAUACGUAGGUGGCAAGCGUUAUCCGGAUUUACUGGGUGUAAAGGGCGUGUAGGCGGGACUGCAAGUCAGAUGUGAAAACCAUGGGCUCAACCCAUGGCCUGCAUUUGAAACUGUAGUUCUUGAGUGAAGUAGAGGCAGGCGGAAUUCCUAGUGUAGCGGUGAAAUGCGUAGAUAUUAGGAGGAACACCAGUGGCGAAGGCGGCCUGCUGGGCUUUUACUGACGCUGAGGCUCGAAAGUGUGGGGAGCAAACAGGAUUAGAUACCCCAGUAGUC